GCUUGUCUCAAAGAUUAAGCCAUGCAUGUCUAAGUAUAAACAAAUUUAUAGUGAAACUGCGAAUGGCUCAUUAUAUCAGUUAUAGUUUAUUUGGCGAUAAAUACUACUUGGAUAACCGUAGUAAUUCUAGAGCUAAUACAUGCGUCAAAACCCGACUCCUGGGAGGGUUGUAUUUAUUAGAUGGAAACCAAUGCGGGGCAACCCGGUAUAUGGUGAUUCAUAAUAACUUUCGGAUCGAUCUUCGGAUCGAUGCAUCAUUCAAGUUUCUGCCCUAUCAGCUUUGGAUGGUAGGGUAUUGGCCUACCAUGGCUUUAACGGGUAACGGAGAAUUAGGGUUCGAUUCCGGAGAGGGAGCCUGAGAAAUGGCUACCACAUCCAAGGAAGGCAGCAGG
rnacentral:rRNA from 1 species